rnacentral:rRNA from 1 species
AUUGAACGCUGGCGGCAGGCCUAACACAUGCAAGUCGAGCGGUAGAGAGGAGCUUGCUUCUCUUGAGAGCGGCGGACGGGUGAGUAAUGCCUAGGAAUCUGCCUAGUGGUGGGGGAUAACGUUCGGAAACGGACGCUAAUACCGCAUACGUCCUACGGGAGAAAGCGGGGGAUCUUCGGACCUCGCGCCAUUAGAUGAGCCUAGGUCGGAUUAGCUAGUUGGUGAGGUAAUGGCUCACCAAGGCGACGAUCCGUAACUGGUCUGAGAGGAUGAUCAGUCACACUGGAACUGAGACACGGUCCAGACUCCUACGGGAGGCAGCAGUGGGGAAUAUUGGACAAUGGGCGAAAGCCUGAUCCAGCCAUGCCGCGUGUGUGAAGAAGGUCUUCGGAUUGUAAAGCACUUUAAGUUGGGAGGAAGGGUAGUAACCUAAUACGUUGCUACUUUGACGUUACCGACAGAAUAAGCACCGGCUAACUUCGUGCCAGCCGCCGCGGUAAAAC